rnacentral:rRNA from 1 species
AUUGAACGCUGGCGGCAGGCCUAACACAUGCAAGUCGAACGAGUGGCGGACGGGUGAGUAAUGUCUGGGAAACUGCCUGAUGGAGGGGGAUAACUACUGGAAACGGUAGCUAAUACCGCAUACCAUCAGAUGUGCCCAGAUGGGAUUAGCUAGUUGGUGGGGUAACGGCUCACCAAGGCGACGAUCCCUAGCUGGCCUGAGAGGAUGACCAGCCACACUGGAACUGAGACACGGUCCAGACUCCUACGGGAGGCAGCAGUGGGGAAUAUUGGACAAUGGGCGCAAGCCUGAUUCAGCCAUGCCGCGUGUAUGAAGAAGGCCUUCGGGUUGUAAAGCACUUUCGGCGGGGAGGCGUUACCCGAAGAAGAAGCACCGGCUAACUCCGUGCCAGCAGCCGCGGUAAUUC